rnacentral:rRNA from 1 species
UAGGGAAUUGUUCGCAAUGGGCGCAAGCCUGAUGACGCAACGCCGCGUGGGGGAUGAAGGUCUUCGGAUUGUAAACCCCUGUCGAAUGGGACGAAAGACUCGCGAGUUAAUACUUCGCGGGAGUGACGGUACCGUUAAAGGAAGCCACGGCUAACUCUGUGCCAGCAGCCGCGGUAAUACGAAGGGAGCUAGCGUUGUUCGGAAUCACUGGGCGUAAAGCGCACGUAGGCGGAUAGUUAAGUCAGGGGUGAAAUCCUGGGGCUCAACCCCAGAACUGCCUUUGAUACUGGCUGUCUCGAGGUCGAGAGAGGUUGGUGGAAUUCCUAGUGUAGAGGUGAAAUUCGUAGAUAUUAGGAAGAACACCAGUGGCGAAGGCGGCCAACUGGCUCGAUACUGACGCUGAGGUGCGAAAGCGUGGGGAGCAAACAGGAUUAGAUACCCAAGUAGUCCCUGAGCGGGCUGGCAAGGCGCAU